UACGGAGGGUGCAAGCGUUGUCCGGAUUUAUUGGGUUUAAAGGGUGCGUAGGUGGUCGUCUAAGUCUGGUUUUAAAGUUGGCUGCUUAACAGUCAAAGGUGGCUGGAAACUGGACGACUUGAAUGGGAUGGCGGUAGCCGGAAUGGGUCAUGUAGCGGUGAAAUGCAUAGAUAUGACCCGGAACACCGAUUGCGAAGGCAGGCUACUACGUCCCGAUUGACACUGAGGCACGAGAGCAUGGGUAGCGAACAGG
rnacentral:rRNA from 1 species